AAUGAGCACACAUUCAACAUGAAAAACAAAUUGUUAUGAUCUUGUAUUGUAAUUUCAUGAUGCAGCAUUAAUGGAACUGCAUGAAAAGAUAUUCUUGAAACGGCAUGUCAAAGAUGGUGAAAGCCCAAUGGCUUCAUGUGCUUUCUGUGCACGGUCUGCAUUUGGUGAUUCACAUUCCUUGGCAAUGGAAUGCAAACAGGUGGUAAAUUCCAUCCAAUGUAACAAUACAACAUUGAGGCUGAUAACAAACAAGUACCAUGAGGGAAAUAUGAAAAGGACUUUGGAAAGAGAAUUAAAAGAGUUUGCAUUUGCUUGGCAUAAAACAAAUUAAUGUUGUCAUGGCCAAAAGAUUGUUGCAUUUCUGGGUGUGUGCCAACAUUGCUUAGCAAGUGUAAUGCUUCUUUCCCCACAAAGCUGUUGCAUUCAUGGAUCAUUCUUGUUUGGUGCUGGCAAUAUGUGUUGCAUAGUGGUGCUCUGCUUGCAUUUCCGAUUUAUGAUGUUAUGCGCACGCCUUUUGAAGCUGGACAGACAUGGCUGGGUGGUUUGUGCAUCUUCUUGGAGGAGUGGCUUGUGUGCUGACAAAGAAGGUUGCUUGACCCGUCUUGAAACACGGACCAAGGAGUCUAACAGACGUGCAAAAGAAUGAUUCAAAAUGUGGCAAAACUGAAAGUAAGAGUUAGCAUGUGUGCUCCAACGGCCAAAUGCUUGGUAGACACGCAUUUGAAUUUGAGCAUGUUUGUUAGGACCCGAAAGAUGGUGAACUAUGCUUGAUCAGAAUGAAUUCAGAGGAAACUCUGACGGAAGUUCGUAUCGAUACUGACGU
rnacentral:rRNA from 1 species